rnacentral:rRNA from 1 species
UACGGAAGGCAGCAGUGGGGAAUAUUGCACAAUGGGCGCAAGCCUGAUGCAGCCAUGCCGCGUGUAUGAAGAAGGCCUUCGGGUUGUAAAGUACUUUCAGUCGUGAGGAAGGUGUUAAGGUUAAUAACCUUAGCAAUUGACGUUAGCGACAGAAGAAGCACCGGCUAACUCCGUGCCAGCAGCCGCGGUAAUACGGAGGGUGCGAGCGUUAAUCGGAAUUACUGGGCGUAAAGGGCACGCAGGCGGUUAAUUAAGUUGGAUGUGAAAUCCCCGGGCUUAACCUGGGAAUGGCAUUCAAGACUGGUUAGCUAGAGUCUUGUAGAGGGGGUAGAAUUCCAUGUGUAGCGGUGAAAUGCGUAGAGAUGUGGAGGAAUACCGGUGGCGAAGGCGGCCCCUGGACAAGACUGACGCUCAUGUGCGAAAGCGUGGGGAGCAAACGAGGGAUUAGAUACC